UACGAAGGGGGCUAGCGUUGUUCGGAAUUACUGGGCGUAAAGCGUAUGCAGGCGGACUUUUAAGUCGGGGGUGAAAUCCCGAGGCUCAACCUCGGAACUGCCUUCGAUACUGGAAGUCUUGAGUCCGGGAGAGGUGAGUGGAACUCCAAGUGUAGAGGUGAAAUUCGUAGAUAUUCGGAAGAACACCAGUGGCGAAGGCGGCUCACUGGCCCGGUACUGACGCUGAGAUACGAAAGCGUGGGGAGCAGACAGG
rnacentral:rRNA from 1 species